GUAAGUGAGGGGGGGGAAGGGGGGGUAGUGGGUAGGUUGCGAGGGUGAACAGGGAAUAUUGGGCGGGAAUGGCGCGUAGGCGGGUUGUGGCGUCUGUCGGGAAAGUACGGGGCGUAACCCCGGGUGUGCGGUGGGUACGGGCGGACUAGAGUGCAGUAGGGGAGACUGGAAGUCCUGGUGUAGCGGUGGAAUGCGCAGAUAUCAGGAGGAACACCGAGGGCGAAGGCAGGUCUCUGGGCUGUAACUGACGCUGAGGAGCGCAAGCAUGGGGAGCGAACAGGAUUAGAUACCCCAGUAGUC
rnacentral:rRNA from 1 species